GGUCAAGUGAAGAAGCGCAUACGGUGGAUGCCUUGGCAGUCAGAGGCGAUGAAAGACGUGGUAGCCUGCGAAAAGCUUCGGGGAGUCGGCAAACAGACUGUGAUCCGGAGAUAUCUGAAUGGGGGAACCCAGCCAUCAUAAGAUGGUUAUCUUGUACUGAAUACAUAGGUGCAAGAGGCGAACCAGGGGAACUGAAACAUCUAAGUACCCUGAGGAAAAGAAAUCAACCGAGAUUCCCUUAGUAGUGGCGAGCGAACGGGGACCAGCCCUUAAGUUGUAUUGAGAUUAGCGGAACACUCUGGAAAGGGUGGCCAUAGUGGGUGAUAGCCCUGUACGCGAAAAUCCCUUUGCAAUGAAAUCGAGUAGGACGGGGCACGAGAAACCUUGUCUGAAUAUGGGGGGACCAUCCUCCAAGGCUAAAUACUACUGACUGACCGAUAGUGAACCAGUACCGUGAGGGAAAGGCGAAAAGAACCGCGGAGAGCGGAGUGAAAUAGAUCCUGAAACCGUAUGCGUACAAGCAGUGGGAGCCCACUUUGUUGGGUGACUGCGUACCUUUUGUAUAAUGGGUCAGCGACUUAUUUUCAGUGGCGAGCUUAACCGAAUAGGGGAGGCGUAGCGAAAGCGAGUCUUAAUAGGGCGUCUAGUCGCUGGGAAUAGACCCGAAACCGGGCGAUCUAUCCAUGGGCAGGUUGAAGGUUGGGUAACACUAACUGGAGGACCGAACCGACUACCGUUGAAAAGUUAGCGGAUGACCUGUGGAUCGGAGUGAAAGGCUAAUCAAGCUCGGAGAUAGCUGGUUCUCCUCGAAAGCUAUUUAGGUAGCGCCUCAUGUAUCACUGUAGGGGGUAGAGCACUGUUUCGGCUAGGGGGUCAUCCCGACUUACCAAACCGAUGCAAACUCCGAAUACCUACAAGUGCCGAGCAUGGGAGACACACGGCGGGUGCUAACGUCCGUCGUGAAAAGGGAAACAACCCAGACCGUCAGCUAAGGUCCCAAAGUCAUGGUUAAGUGGGAAACGAUGUGGGAAGGCUUAGACAGCUAGGAGGUUGGCUUAGAAGCAGCCACCCUUUAAAGAAAGCGUAAUAGCUCACUAGUCGAGUCGGCCUGCGCGGAAGAUGUAACGGGGCUCAAACCAUGCACCGAAGCUACGGGUAUCAUCUUUUGAUGAUGCGGUAGAGGAGCGUUCUGUAAGCCUGUGAAGGUGAGUUGAGAAGCUUGCUGGAGGUAUCAGAAGUGCGAAUGCUGACAUGAGUAACGACAAUGGGUGUGAAAAACACCCACGCCGAAAGACCAAGGUUUCCUGCGCAACGUUAAUCGACGCAGGGUUAGUCGGUCCCUAAGGCGAGGCUGAAAAGCGUAGUCGAUGGAAAACAGGUUAAUAUUCCUGUACUUCUGGUUAUUGCGAUGGAGGGACGGAGAAGGCUAGGCCAGCCUGGCGUUGGUUGUCCAGGUUUAAGGUGGUAGGCUGAGAUCUUAGGUAAAUCCGGGAUCUUAAGGCCGAGAGCUGAUGACGAGUGUUCUUUAGAACACGAAGUGGUUGAUGCCAUGCUUCCAAGAAAAGCUUCUAAGCUUCAGGUAACCAGGAACCGUACCCCAAACCGACACAGGUGGUUGGGUAGAGAAUACCAAGGCGCUUGAGAGAACUCGGGUGAAGGAACUAGGCAAAAUGGCACCGUAACUUCGGGAGAAGGUGCGCCGGUGAGGGUGAAGCAUUUACUGCGUAAGCUCAUGCCGGUCGAAGAUACCAGGCCGCUGCGACUGUUUAUUAAAAACACAGCACUCUGCAAACACGAAAGUGGACGUAUAGGGUGUGACGCCUGCCCGGUGCCGGAAGGUUAAUUGAUGGGGUUAGCGCAAGCGAAGCUCUUGAUCGAAGCCCCGGUAAACGGCGGCCGUAACUAUAACGGUCCUAAGGUAGCGAAAUUCCUUGUCGGGUAAGUUCCGACCUGCACGAAUGGCGUAACGAUGGCGGCGCUGUCUCCACCCGAGACUCAGUGAAAUUGAAAUCGCUGUGAAGAUGCAGUGUAUCCGCGGCUAGACGGAAAGACCCCGUGAACCUUUACUAUAGCUUUGCACUGGACUUUGAAUUUGCUUGUGUAGGAUAGGUGGGAGGCUUUGAAGCGUGGACGCCAGUCUGCGUGGAGCCAACCUUGAAAUACCACCCUGGCAACUUUGAGGUUCUAACUCAGGUCCGUUAUCCGGAUCGAGGACAGUGUAUGGUGGGUAGUUUGACUGGGGCGGUCUCCUCCUAAAGAGUAACGGAGGAGUACGAAGGUGCGCUCAGACCGGUCGGAAAUCGGUCGUAGAGUAUAAAGGCAAAAGCGCGCUUGACUGCGAGACAGACACGUCGAGCAGGUACGAAAGUAGGUCUUAGUGAUCCGGUGGUUCUGUAUGGAAGGGCCAUCGCUCAACGGAUAAAAGGUACUCCGGGGAUAACAGGCUGAUACCGCCCAAGAGUUCAUAUCGACGGCGGUGUUUGGCACCUCGAUGUCGGCUCAUCACAUCCUGGGGCUGAAGCCGGUCCCAAGGGUAUGGCUGUUCGCCAUUUAAAGUGGUACGCGAGCUGGGUUUAGAACGUCGUGAGACAGUUCGGUCCCUAUCUGCCGUGGACGUUUGAGAUUUGAGAGGGGCUGCUCCUAGUACGAGAGGACCGGAGUGGACGAACCUCUGGUGUUCCGGUUGUCACGCCAGUGGCAUUGCCGGGUAGCUAUGUUCGGAAAAGAUAACCGCUGAAAGCAUCUAAGCGGGAAACUUGCCUCAAGAUGAGAUCUCACUGGAACCUUGAGUUCCCUAAAGGGCCGUCGAAGACUACGACGUUGAUAGGUUGGGUGUGUAAGCGCUGUGAGGCGUUGAGCUAACCAAUACUAAUUGCCCGUGAGGCUUGACCAU
rnacentral:rRNA from 1 species